rnacentral:misc_RNA from 1 species
GAUUGCUCACAUCCCAAAUAUUAGCAUCGACGAUAGAUGGAUUCAAUAGGAUGGCUGUUACAAACUACGAUCAGAAGAAUGAGACUUCUCCUGGGUUAUGUCCUUAUCCUCUUCAAUAUGCAUUAUUUUUUUGGUCAAUCUUAGAAGCAUACGCUAGUUUUGUCAUUAAAAUUCUUGGAUUUCAUUUUUUUUUUUAAUAUCGAAGUUUACAGAUAUCUUGAAAUUAUUAUAAUUUCAUAACUUUAAUUUUAGUUGCCGGAAUUAUUUCUGGCUCUUUAUAAUUUUUUCUUCCUCUUUGUCGUCCAGAUAGGAUGUACUGCUACUGCUACUGCCUAUGAACUUCAGGAUGGAGAUACAUUGAGUAGCUUCAUACAUGAAAUUUUGAUGAAGGGCAUUGCCAUUAAUCAACUUCAUCUACGAGUUUUUACUUUUCUUCACAUUCCUUUUUUUUAACU